ensembl:snoRNA
UCUGAGGUCUAUCCCGAUGGACCCCUCACAGUGGGGCCUUGUCGUUGGAAAUGCCUCAAAGAGCAAAUCUGUAGCUAUGCUUUACCCAAGUGUUCUCUGCUGUGAGCAUUAUGGGAUACAGCUGCAAACACCU